UUGCUCCCGGAUGUUAGCGGCGGACGGGUGAGUAACACGUGGGUAACCUGCCUGUAAGACUGGGAUAACUCCGGGAAACCGGAGCUAAUACCGGAUAGUUCCUUGAACCGCAUGGUUCAAGGAUGAAAGACGGUUUCGGCUGUCACUUACAGAUGGACCCGCGGCGCAUUAGCUAGUUGGUGGGGUAAUGGCUCACCAAGGCGACGAUGCGUAGCCGACCUGAGAGGGUGAUCGGCCACACUGGGACUGAGACACGGCCCAGACUCCUACGGGAGGCAGCAGUAGGGAAUCUUCCGCAAUGGACGAAAGUCUGACGGAGCAACGCCGCGUGAGUGAUGAAGGUUUUCGGAUCGUAAAGCUCUGUUGUUAGGGAAGAACAAGUGCGAGAGUAACUGCUCGCACCUUGACGGUACCUAACCAGAAAGCCACGGCUAACUACGUG
rnacentral:rRNA from 2 species